rnacentral:snRNA from 1 species
CCACCGAGCGGCGGGUAGA